rnacentral:rRNA from 1 species
GAUGAACGCUAGCGGCAGGCUUAACACAUGCAAGUCGAGGGGUAGAAGUUUUCGGACUUUGAGACCGGCGCACGGGUGCGUAACGCGUAUGCAAUCUGCCUUGUACAAAGGGAUAGCCCAGAGAAAUUUGGAUUAAUACCUUAUAGUAUACUGAUGUGGCAUCACAUUAAUAUUAAAGAUUUAUCGGUACAAGAUGAGCAUGCGUCCCAUUAGCUAGUUGGUAUGGUAACGGCAUACCAAGGCAAUGAUGGGUAGGGGUCCUGAGAGGGAGAUCCCCCACACUGGUACUGAGACACGGACCAGACGCCUACGGGAGGCAGCAGUGAGGAAUAUUGGUCAAUGGGCGCAAGCCUGAACCAGCCAUGCCGCGUGCAGGAUGACGGUCCUAUGGAUUGUAAACUGCUUUUGUACGGGAAGAAACACCUCUUCGUGAAGAGGCUUGACGGUACCGUAAGAAUAAGGAUCGGCUAACUCCGUGCCAGCCGCCGCGGUAAAAC